rnacentral:rRNA from 1 species
GAACGCUAGCUACAGGCUUAACACAUGACAAGUCGAGGGGCAUCACAGUGUAGCAAUACACGGGUGGCGACCGGCGCACGGGUGCGUAACAUGUAUCCAAUCUGCCCGUUACUCGGGGAUAGCCUUCUGAAAGGAAGAUUAAUACCCGAUGGCAUGUAUUUCCGGCAUCGGAGAUACAUUAAAGAUUUAUCGGUAACGGAUGAGGAUGCGUACGAUUAGCUAGUUGGUGAGGUAACGGCUCACCAAGGCGACGAUCAUUAGCCGGACUGAGAGGUUGAACGGCCACAUUGGGACUGAGACACGGCCCAGACUCCUACGGGAGGCAGCAGUGGGGAAUAUUGCACAAUGGGCGAAAGCCUGAUGCAGCGACGCCGCGUGAGCGAAGAAGUAUUUCGGUAUGUAAAGCUCUAUCAGCAGGGAAGAAAAUGACGGUACCUGACUAAGAAGCACCGGCUAAAUACGUG